rnacentral:rRNA from 1 species
UACAGAGGGGGCAAGCGUUGUUCGGAAUUACUGGGCGUAAAGGGCGCGUAGGCGGCCUGUUAGGUCGAACGUGAAAUCCCCGGGCUCAACCCGGGAACUGCGUCCGAUACUGGCAGGCUUGAAUUCGGGAGAGGGAUGUGGAAUUCCAGGUGUAGCGGUGAAAUGCGUAGAUAUCUGGAGGAACACCGGUGGCGAAGGCGGCAUCCUGGACCGAUAUUGACGCUGAUGCGCGAAAGCCAGGGGAGCAAACGGG